GUCCAGCUGACAAGUCCCGAACAGGAUGAAACGCGCAUCCUGGAU
rnacentral:hammerhead_ribozyme from 1 species